rnacentral:sRNA from 1 species
AGGGCCACCGGGUCGACGGCGCGGGUGGCGUGCAGAUAGGCGCGGAUGGCGGCGGCGUGCCGGUCCUC